GAUGAACGCUGGCGGCGUGCCUAAUACAUGCAAGUCGAGCGAACGGACGAGAAGCUUGCUUCUCUGAUGUUAGCGGCGGACGGGUGAGUAACACGUGGAUAACCUACCUAUAAGACUGGGAUAACUUCGGGAAACCGGAGCUAAUACCGGAUGAUAUUUUGAACCGCAUGGUUCAAAAGUGAAAGACGGUCUUGCUGUCACUUAUAGAUGGAUCCGCGCUGCAUUAGCUAGUUGGUAGGUAACGGCUUACCAAGGCAACGAUGCAUAGCCGACCUGAGAGGGUGAUCUGCCACACUGGAACUGAGACACGGUCCAGACUCCUACGGGAGGCAGCAGUAGGGAAUCUUCCGCAAUGGGCGAAAGCCUGACGGAGCAACGCCGCGUGAGUGAUGAAGGUCUUCGGAUCGUAAAACUCUGUUAUUAGGGAAGAACAUAUGUGUAAGUAACUGUGCACAUCUUGACGGUACCUAAUCAGAAAGCCACGGCUAACUACGUG
rnacentral:rRNA from 1 species